GCAGCAGCCGCGGUAAAACGAAGGGUGCAAGCGUUAAUCGGAAUUACUGGGCGUAAAGCGUGCGUAGGCGGACAUUUAAGUCAGGGGUGAAAUCCCAGAGCUCAACUCUGGAGCUGCCUUUGAUACUGGGUGUCUUGAGUGUGAUAGAGGUAUGUGGAACUCCGAGUGUAGAGGUGAAAUUCGUAGAUAUUCGGAAGAACACCAGUGGCGAAGGCGACAUACUGGAUCAUUACUGACGCUGAGGCUCGAAAGCGUGGGGAGCAAACAGGAUUAGAUACCCGGGUAGUCCCUGUCUCUUAUAC
rnacentral:rRNA from 1 species